rnacentral:rRNA from 1 species
CAGCAGCCGCGGUAAUACGGAGGGAGCUAGCGUUGUUCGGAAUUACUGGGCGUAAAGCGCACGUAGGCGGUUAUUCAAGUCAGAGGUGAAAGCCCGGGGCUCAACCCCGGAACUGCCUUUGAAACUAGAUGACUGGAAUCUUGGAGAGGUCAGUGGAAUUCCGAGUGUAGAGGUGAAAUUCGUAGGUAUUCGGAAGAACACCAGUGGCGAAGGCGACUGACUGGACAAGUAUUGACGCUGAGGUGCGAAAGCGUGGGGAGCAAACAGGAUUAGAUACCCCUGUAGUCCCUGUCUCUUAUAC